rnacentral:rRNA from 1 species
CAAUAGCGUAUAUUAACGUUGUUGCAGUUAAAAAGCUCGUAGUUGGAUUUCUGGAGGGAGCGUCGGCCCGUAUUUACGAGUGCGUGACGUCUCUGUCCAUCCUUGCGGGAAGGCACAGCAUUGAUUUGUUGUGUCGGAUCGCAUCAUUUACUGUGAAAAAAUUAGAGUGUUCAAAGCAGGCUUUCGCUUGAAUACAUUAGCAUGGAAUAAUAAGAUAGGACUUUGGUGCUAUUUUGUUGGUUGAGCCUAAAGUAAUGAUUAAUAGGGAUAGUUGGGGGCACCUGUAUUGCGUUGUCAGAGGUGAAAUUCUUGGAUUUACGCAAGACAAACAGCUGCGAGAGCGUCUGCCAAGGAUGUUUUCAUUAA